rnacentral:rRNA from 1 species
AAGGAGGGUGCUAGCGUUGUUCGGAAUUACUGGGCGUAAAGCGCGUGUAGGCGGAUCCAGAAGUCGGGUGUGAAAGCCCUGGGCUUAACCCAGGAAGUGCGCCCGAAACCAUGGGUCUUGAGGUCCGGAGGGGAUCGGGGAAUUCCCAGUGUAGCGGUGAAAUUCGUAGAUAUUGGGAGGAACACCAGUGGCGAAGGCGCCCAUCUGGACGGCCUCUGACGUUGAGGCGCGAACGUGUGGGUAGCAAACAG